CCACGUGGCAAACCGGUCCAACAACGACUUCGGUCCACACGAAACCCACGUCUCGCUCUCUCGCCUCUCCCUCCCUGAAAUCUGAAGAAGCUUGCCUUUUUUCUCAUUCCAGUUUUAACCACAGGCUAUGUAGACCACAAUGAUGUUUUCAAAUUAGGCACCGUCACUGCAUCCAUAUGUGGCUUUCUGAGGUUUGAACUUUCUGGUGGAAGUCUUUUGGCAACUGUUGGCUCCAAUUAAAUGAUCUUAGUUCAUUGCAUGUGGGUUGAUGGAGCAAAAGGCUUGUUGGUUUGCCGCAUUCUAGUUUCCCAUAAACGAUCAAUUUUGGACUGGUGUUGCGAAUGAAUAGCAAAUGAUAGAUGUCUUUUCAGAGGAGGUGGAUGCUUUCUGCAGGUUAAAGGUGCCAUGAAUAGAAAGUGGAGCAGAAAGAUCGGCUGAAGUUCGAUAUUUAGACCUAGACGCAAGUUAUAGUCUCUUGUGAAUGCCUCGUGAGAUGGCGAAGAUAAACUAGGAGCUAAAGGCUAAAGCACCAUAGCUCAUUUAAGCUAAGAAUGUUUUUUUUCCCUGUCUUAAUAGAACACCAAAAUGCCCCCACAAGAAUUUCUAACAUAUGCUUUGGUUGAAAGAUUCGGAAAAUAAAUCUUAUAUACAUAUAUAUUGUACAUCCAAGACCUCAACAUUUUUAUAUCGAGGAAGUUCAUCUCCCUUUUAUUUUUUAUUAAUUCAUGGUGUUUUUCUUCUUCUUUUUAUCUGUGAGUCUGAUUAUCAUGUAAAUCUAGUAGAAUUUAGCUAAUGAGUGAUGCUGUUUAUUAAGAGUGCAAAACCUAGGGGCUAUGGGUUGUCAUUUAAGAAGUAUGACUAUCAUUUUCAAUCCUUUUCAUCCCAAAUUCAAUAAUUCAUUAGUUUGUCUGGUAUCCAAGGUUAUGAGUAUGUCUCUGAACGAUUUCUAGUGAGUUGUCUGUGAGAACCAGCUCGUGAUGCAAGCUACUCGGACAGCCCUCCAACCAAACCUUAUCCCCCCUAUAUUUUAUUCCUUCUUUAUUCUUUUUUAGGAGUGUGGGGUAGGAAGGAAAUUAUUUUACAUGGUUAAAAGUGGUGUAACACAAAAGUCUUUGAGUCCCAUACUUUUCAAAUUAGCUUUUAGACAGCACUCACAAAUUAGAAAAGAUAUCAGAAAAGAAAAGCUGCCUACCAUGGUGUCUACACUCUACAAAGCCCACCCACCUAACCAUAUAUUUUCUUCAUUUUUCUACUUUUUAUUUCAUAUUCUUUCCUUUUCUUUCUUUUGUACCCAUGCUGGAUUCUGUAUAUGCACACUCGCUCGUAGGCCCCAGGAGCUAAACCUAAAACAAAAAGACAUCUCUCUUUUCUACUCUCUAUAGCAUGAAAACUCAGGGAAGCAGUUUCUGUCUUUUUUUCCUAUGACUUUUGAAACAUUGAACACAAGCUUGACCAUUCAUUCUCUUCUUCUGGAAAUAAUAUAGCCCUCUCAAUAUAUAAGGAAAAAAAAUGCAUGUCUCUUUGUUGGGUUAGGAUAUCAAACACUGCUAGACAUAACGCAUACCUGCUGCAUACAUGAUGCAUGUCUCUUUGAUAUUCCUAAAUUUCUCCCUUUUUCUUUUGAUUUCCCUUUACUUUUGUCCCAACUUGGAAAGUUUGCUACCUUCUCCGACUUCCCUUUGCUUUUGGAGAAAUUAUUAGAAGACAGGUUUAGUUAGAGGAUUAGCAAAACCAUUCUGGAGAGUGGAGAUUAGGUGCCAGUGGCUCCUUCAGAUGACCAGUGUGUUGCGUUCAUAAAGCUUGUGGGCCCAAAUCUAGCCAGCUAGUUGGUUGCCUAGAGGAAAGAUUUUCAAAUUCGUAGUAUCUGCAGGCGUAGAAUUUGAAGGCUUUUGAUUCCCGACAUGCUCAAAAUUUGUUUUCCAGUUGUGAAAAUUGACUCCUGGACUUGAAAGAAAAGUUGUGAUAAAGGGUGUCUGUCUUCUAAGUCAAGCUUGCUUUUUGCCCAUCUAUCAUGUGCUCCACGUUGAAACACAUCAGUAUCAUAUGAAAAUAUAUGUGUGGGUUUCCCAGUUUUGUAGAAGUUUUCUGUGUCCUCCGACUGGUGCACCAAGAUGAAAUCUGAGUUGCCCAAAAUAUAAGUCUUUUUAGGCAGUUCCAAGGAGAGAAAGAGAGGUUUGUAGGGAUAAUAUAUAGCCUAGAUUAGCUCCUUUGGAUGGGGUUCUGAAUAAUUGAUGGUUUUAUUAACGAUUAUUUCCCCUUUCUGGCCAUUAUAGCUCCCCAUGCUCUUGGAGAAAUCAAUCAUUGUGUAGGCAUUUUUUUGGUGGCUGUCUUCAAAGACUUAUCAUCAUUACCCAAAUCAACUAAGUUAUUGUGCCUUUUUGAAGUCUUGCUUAUCAUAUGUUCAUAAUAAUAAUACAAAUACUGAUAAAGAGUACAAGAAAACCGCAAUUGCUGUCUGGAAGCUUUUCUGUAAGUCACCGACCCCAAUUAUUAUUUGCCACAAUUCAUCAUUUGUCACAAAAUGCAGCUCUUCUCUACUGUUCUUAUUACUGUUGUUAUUAUAAUUGAUAAGUGACCCAGCAUCUCACAGGACGGCACUUCAAGCCAUGGCUUUGCCCACCGCCCAAAA